GCGAAGAUUGGCAGAGACAGAGAGCAGGAAAAUAUUUAUAUCUAUUUACAGAGCGCACGGGGCACGGCCGCCAGCUUGUGGAGUCCUUGUGUUCGUGUCCUUAGCGCGGAAAUUUAGGAGCAGGAAGCAGGAAGUGCCCCAGGGCGGGGGUGACUGUAGCAGUGGCAGUGGCAGUGGGAGAAAAGCAAUGUGUAAGCGCCUAAGCUUUGGGCCAACAACUAAUAAAGGCUAUCAACAACAGUUCAAACAGCAGCAGGCAGGCAGCAGCCAGGAAGCAGGCAGGCACCAAGCAACAACAACAGCCCGAACAAUGGGCCCAAAACAUCAGAAAAGCAAAAGAAAAGCGCACUCAAGUGAAUAUUUUUCUCAUUUUGCUUGCAUUUUCACUUUGAAGUUUUUGACAUUUUUCAUAAAGCAGAUUCUCGGCGCACAUUUCUUUCCUCCACGCAUUCGCCGGGCCUUUAUUUUAUUUUGGAUUUUUUCCAAAUUUUUUCGACGUUUUUUUGUGCGUUUAUUUUCGUACGCAUUUCCUUCUUCGUUUUUUUUUUCGAUCGAAAAUCCAGGCAAACAAAAGUAAAAGCCCACCCCUGAAGGAAGGUGUGGCCUGUGGACACAGAACCCAAAAAAAAAACGACCCUCACAGGCCUACUACCCCUGAAAAACAGAACCAGAGUCAGAGCCAGAGCUAGAGCCCACCUCCAAGCGGAGUGCUGCUCCCCUGCUGUAGAGUAAGGAAAAACGGCAGCUUAAAGUAGCCAAGGCAACAUUUAAAGACGCUGCCAAGGAGGAGCACGGACAUGGCAUUAGCUGGCCCACAAAAUUACUUGCUCGUUAGUUUUCCAGGUGGCCCGCGCGCGCUCUCAGUCUCCCUCUCUCACUCUCUCGUACUUUCCACCCCUAUGCAGCCUUCUCCCUCUGCCAGUAGGCACAAAGAGCGAGAGGAGUGACAGAGAGAGAGAGAGAGAGACAGGAAGGCAAGCCAAAAAAAAACUUCCACUGGAAAGUGCGUAAGCGUUAUGCAGCUGCCGAACGCCAGGCGGCGCCACCUACUUUGGUGUAAGGGCGAUUCCUUUGCGAUGCCUUUUGCUCGUCCUUGUUUGUCUCUAAUUAUAUUUUAAUUUGCACAAUCUUCUUCCUGUUAUUAUUUCUGUUCACGGCAAUUGCCUCAAAGUGUUUGCACUUCUCAAUCGCGCAGGAGGAGCAGCGGAAAAAGAGAGAGAGAAUGAAAGAGAGAGCGAGAGAGAAGUGCCAGGCAAACAUUUUAAUUGCAAUUAUGCCAGGCGUGGCUUCGUCCUUGCCGCAGGGCGUUGUGUUUGGCACGUAGCCGUGCCGUGCCGUGCCGUGCCGCCCCAUUUGAAUGGACACUAAUUAUUGCCGGAGUUCGGCGGCCGCAGUUGCCACAUCAAAUCUUUUUGGGCAGGUAAUUACAUCUGGGAAUUUCGGAAUGGAAGGAAAUUGAGCGAGUGCACAAAUUUGGAAUUUUAAACAGGAGACGGAAAACGGACCCCGCUUCGGGUCAACUUAAAGACGCCUUCGGUGUACCCCGUUCCAUGACUUCAUUUGCACUUGCAAAUCCAAUUUUGGAGUCGGAGAAACGCGUCGCUGGAGAACGAAAACAAGUCACGUACAGCCCAGCUCAUUUCCUGUGCCACAAAAGGUGUCAAACGGAUGUAGGCAACGUGCCGCGUAUGCUCAAUGUCCUGCCGGAAUGGUUCCACUUCCUGGUCCAAGUCCACUGCCCCUGCCGCCUGCUGCGUAAUCAAAAAGGGAACGCAGCAUCCCAAAUUCAGCGAACUUUAAACGUUUCUUAAUUGUUAAACUGCCCCCGGGAAUGUUCACCCACCAGCCAGACACGAAGGACACUCACCAGACGCUGGUCCACAAUUAAGCCAAAGCAACAGUGAAAAAAAGCACUGCCAAAAGACAAGAAAAACAAGCAGCAAAAGAAAAGCACAGAGGAAGAGACAGAGAGCUGGAAGCAAACGCACGCCAUGUUAAUUAAUUUGCCAGCACAGGCACAGGACAUCCGCCAGCAGGCAGGACAAGGCCCAGGCUGUAGGAGAGUGGUCUGAGGGGGGAGCAUGUUUAUUUUAUGCCGUCGCGCUUAAGUGGUAAGCCCCAUUAACAACUGCCUGUCGUUUGCCCUGAAAAUAAUGGCGUUAGAUCAUCAUCGUCGCGUCGCGUCCUGCGUCCUGCGUCCUGCUGGUCUCUCCUCAGUCGUCGUCAUUUGAGCGUAGAAAGCUUUCAGCGUAAAUUGUUGGAAAUUAAGAAAUGUUCUCGCCCCAGCAGCUACACUCCCCCUCCUGGCUGUACCACCCACACGGAUGUUUUCUUACGUUUUUUGCUUCCUUCCUUCUCAUGUUUCAUGGAUCGCUCACAGGAUUCGCUCAGUGCUCUGUUCGCUGUUCUCUUCUGUUGUUUUAUGGCCGCCAUUUGCCCCGGCACUGGCCACUGGCACUGCCAGUUGCCAUUGUUAAUGUCCUGGCAACCACAAAUGGCGCCACCCAUGUCCUGGGCUCUGUUUUUUUUAUUCUCGUUCUUCCUUCUGUGUUUUCCUUUAAUUUAGUGAACGUCUUGGGCGGCCGCUCAACAAUAAUUAGAUGUAACGGAUAUUGUAAUUGGUGUUAAAUUGCGUCAGAGGCCGUGUUAAUGUUUGUCAUGGUUCGUGGGUUCGUGGGUUCGUGGGAGGGGGUGUGUGCCACAUGGCUGGGGGAAUGUGUGGCUCUGUGUGGGGAGAUUGCUUGUUAUCACAGCGAACUUCACACGGCAAGGAUUUAAG
rnacentral:lncRNA from 1 species